GGGGGCGUACUGGUUUCGACCUGGUUGACUCGCCGGAAGUGGCAUGCCGAGGAUGAUCCGUUGGCCUCGUUAAUCAUCGGGUCAAACAAAUAAACGCUAACGACGAGUUGGCUCUCGCGGCCUAAUAAUGCCGCGACGUCCGCCUCCGGACACCUGCUACGGGGGAUGGACGCCACAGCAGGCAUGGGCGGGCGCGGAGCGGGCGCGCGCCGGCCCGAGAAAAACACUGCCGGCUAUGCCGCCGGAUUCCGGCCGAAAGGUUAUCCGGCGGAAGAAAAUCGCUUUCGGCUAAGCAUGUAGUCGCGACCGGUUGGCUGGCCAGGGACGCGGGUUCAACUCCCGCCGCCUCCACCA
rnacentral:tmRNA from 1 species